GGGGCUGUAGCUCAGCUGGGAGAGCACCUGCUUUGCAAGC
rnacentral:tRNA from 1 species